UCCCUGGUGGUCCAGGGGCUAGGACUCCACACUCUUGAUGCAGGGGACCUGGGUUCAAACCCUGGCCAGGGAA
rnacentral:tRNA from 1 species